rnacentral:rRNA from 1 species
GGUGACGAGUGGCGGACGGGUGAGUAAUGUCUGGGAAACUGCCUGAUGGAGGGGGAUAACUACUGGAAACGGUAGCUAAUACCGCAUAACGUCGCAAGACCAAAGAGGGGGACCUUCGGGCCUCUUGCCAUCAGAUGUGCCCAGAUGGGAUUAGCUAGUAGGUGGGGUAACGGCUCACCUAGGCGACGAUCCCUAGCUGGUCUGAGAGGAUGACCAGCCACACUGGAACUGAGACACGGUCCAGACUCCUACGGGAGGCAGCAGUGGGGAAUAUUGCACAAUGGGCGCAAGCCUGAUGCAGCCAUGCCGCGUGUAUGAAGAAGGCCUUCGGGUUGUAAAGUACUUUCAGCGGGGAGGAAGGUGUUGUGGUUAAUAACCGCAGCAAUUGACGUUACCCGCAGAAGAAGCACCGGCUAACUCCGUGCCAGCAGCCGCGGUAAUACGGAGGGUGCAAGCGUUAAUCGGAAUUACUGGGCGUAAA